rnacentral:rRNA from 1 species
GACGAACGCUGGCGGCGUGGAUUAGGCAUGCAAGUCGAACGGUAGGAUACCUUCGGGUAUCUGAGAGUGGCGAACGGGUGAGUAACACGUAGGUGAUCUACCCUCAAGAUUGGGACAACCCAGGGAAACUUGGGCUAAUACCGGAUGAAAGCAGCAGUGAUGUUGUUUGAAAGGUGGCGUAAGCUGCCGUUUGGGGAUGAGCCUGCGCUCUAUUAGUUAGUUGGCGGGGUAAAGGCCCACCAAGGCGAUGAUAGAUAGGCGGCCUUAACGGGUGGUCGCCCACACUGGGAUUGAGAUACGGCCCAGACUCCUACGGGAGGCAGCAGUCGAGAAUAGUCUACAAUGGCCGAAAGGCUGAUAGUGCGACGCCGCGUGAACGAAGAAGCCCGUUGGGUGUAAAGUUCUUUUAUAUGUGAGCAGUGCUUUCUAUGUGAACAGCAGUGGGGAGAGAGGAUAUUAGCAUAUGAAUAAGCAACGGCUAACUCCGUGCCAGCACGG